ACGGCUCAGUAACACGUAGUCAACCUAACUCGUGGACGUGGAUAACCUCGGGAAACUGAGAAUAAACCACGAUAGAUCAUAGUGCCUGGAAUGGCUUAUGGUCCAAACAGUUUACUGCCAUGGGAUGGGACUGCGGCCUAUCAGCUUGUUGGUGGGGUAAUGGCCCACCAAGGCGAUUACAGGUACGGGCUCUGAGAGGAGAAGCCCGGAGAUGGGUACUGAGACACGGACCCAGGCCCUAUGGGGCGCAGCAGGCGAGAAACCUUAGCAAUGUGCGAAAGCACGACUGGGUCAGUCCGAGUGAUUCCUGAUAAAGGAGUCUUUUGCCUGUCCUAAAAGCACAGGUGAAUAAGGGGUGGGCAAGUCUGGUGUCAGCCGCCGCGGUAAUACCAGCACCUCGAGUGGUCAGGACGUUUAUUGGGCCUAAAGCAUCCGUAGCCGGCUCUGCAAGUCUUCGGUUAAAUCCACCUGCUCAACAGAUGGGCCGCUGGAGAUACUACAGAGCUAGGGAGUGGGAGAGGCAGACGGUAUUCAGUGGGUAGGGGUAAAAUCCUCUGAUCCAUUGAGGACCACCAGUGGCGAAGGCGGUCUGCCAGAACACGUUCGACGGUGAGGGAUGAAAGCUGGGGGAGCAAACCGGAUUAGAUACCCGGGUAGUCCCAGCUGUAAACGAUGCAAACUCGGUGAUGCAUUGGCUUAUGGCCAAUGCAGUGCCGCAGGGAAGCCGUUAAGUUUGCCGCCUGGGAAGUACGGACGCAAGUCUGAAACUUAAAGGAAUUGGCGGGGGAGCAC
rnacentral:rRNA from 1 species